UACGAAGGGUGCAAACGUUGCUCGGAAUCAUUGGGCGUAAAGCGCACGUAGGCGGCCCUGUAAGUCGGAUGUGAAAUCCCACAGCUUAACUGUGGACGUGCAUUCGAAACUGCGGGGCUCGAGUAUGGAAGAGGGUCGCAGAAUACCCGGUGUAGAGGUGAAAUUCGUAGAUAUCGGGAGGAAUACCAGUGGCGAAGGCGGCGACCUGGGCCAAUACUGACGCUGAGGUGCGAAAGCGUGGGGAGCAAACAGG
rnacentral:rRNA from 1 species